GAUGAAGAACGUAGUGAAAUGCGAUAAGUAGUGUGAAUUGCAGAAUUCAGUGAAUCAUCGAAUCUUUGAACGCACAUUGCGCCCCUUGGUAUUCCAUGGGGCAUGCCUGUUCGAGCGUCAUUUGUACCUUCAAGCUCUGCUUGGUGUUGGGUGUUUGUCUCGCCUCUGCGUGUAGACUCGCCUCAAAACAAUUGGCAGCCGGCGUAUUGAUUUCGGAGCGCAGUACAUCUCGCGCUUUGCACUCAUAACGACGACGUCCAAAAGUACAUUUUUACACUCUUGACCUCGGAUCAGGUAGGGAUACCCGCUGAACUUAAGCAUAUCAAUAAGCCGGAGGA
rnacentral:misc_RNA from 1 species